AUAUGACUCGGGGAAAAUAAGUGCUUGUCUCCCUAUCUCUGGUGCCAGUUAAGGUGAUUGGUGUUCAGGACCUUCGGAAGCUCUUUGAAAACGACAGGGCUGGCCGGAUUCCAGCAAUUUACCUUCUGAAGGCUGAGCAUGUCUGGGCAGUGGCUGCAUAAUUUGGAUGGAGUCAUCCCUGAUGAGACAGAGUUGGCUCAGCCAGGGAGCACUCGUUGCUCUUUUAAACUCCACGGCACCAGGGGAUGAAGUCACCUUUCUUCUUUUAAAACCAACAGAUUGGCCCCGUAAGUCCCUGCCACUUCUGUUAGAACUUGGUGUUUUUUUCUCCUGCUGGUCCCCAGGACCUUCUCUCAGCUCUGCUGGAAGAUCACUACCUGCUCUUUGGGCUCCGCUUCAUCCUCCGCGUGGGCUCUGGGAGUGCGGGGAAGGGGACAGAAGAGAACAAUAAGAAGUCAAGGAAAUGCCCAAUCCUGAUGUCUGGUGGAAAGCCACUGAGACCCCUAGAAAAGACCAGCAAAAAGGAAUUAAAACAGGAAGCUUGGGGAAGACACAUGGAUGAGUGGUUAAAGCAUGGAUUUUGAUAUCAGAUGACCUGGAUUCCAAUCUGGAUUCUGACAUUUUCUAGUUGGCUGACCUCGGAAAGCAUCUUGACACUCUGUUCUCAGUUUCUCCAUCUAAAACCUGGAUAAUAAUACCAUCUCACAAAGUUCUCAUGAAGAUUAAAUGCGAUGAUGUCUACAGAAUGCUUAGCGCGGUACCUAACGGUGUGCUGAGUUAGCAGCAGGUGACAAGUCCCACAAGCCUUGGUAAGCCCCGAGCGUCGGUCUGUCAGUCGCACAACAGGCGCCCAGGGUGUGUUCCAGCCAGCCGCUGCCUUGCUCUGGGGACAGAUGACUGCUUCCUAAUGCCCCGUCACAGUUCAUCCUGUUUCGCCCCAGGAAUGAAGUUUGCAGAUGGGACUGAGUCACCUCUGGAAGUGUAUCUACUUCAGGAGUUAAUAAUGAUUUUAAUAAAACCAACUACUAGCACCACUUA